rnacentral:rRNA from 1 species
UAUGUGAUCGUCUCUCGCAUAUCAAUAAGCGGAGGAAAAGAAACUAACAAGGAUUCCCCUAGUAACAGGCGAGUGAAGCGGGAAGAGCUCAAAUUUGAAAUCUUAAAGGUUUUCCCUUGACGAAUUGUAGUUUAAAGAAGUGUUUUCUGUUGAAGGUUUUGGUAAAAGUUCUUUGGAAUAGGACAUCAUAGAGGGUGAGAAUCCCGUAUUUGACCAUUUACUUUUCAGCUUUGUGAUACACUUUCAAAGAGUCGGAUUGUUUGGGAAUGCAGUCCAAAAUGGGUGGUAAAUUUCAUCUAAAGCUAAAUAUUGGCGAGAGACCGAUAGCGAACAAGUACCGUGAGGGAAAGAUGAAAAGAACUUUGAAAAGAGAGUUAAACAGUACGUGAAAUUGUCAAAAGGGAAGCGUUUGACACCAGUGUUGUUUUUCUGAAAAUCAAUUAAAGAACUGUUUAUGCUAAGCUGUUUAGACUUUAUCAGCUAAUCUGUUUAGUUUUGAGCUUUUCUUUAAUGCACUUUUCAGUUAACAAGUCAACAUCAAUUUCUUUUGCUGUAAAAAAGCUUGAGGAAGGUGGCUUGAGAUUCGUCUUAAGUGUUUAUAGCCUCUUGCCUAUGCAGUCGGAGAGAUUGAGGUCUGCAGCGUAGAUCCUUCGGGGCUAAAUGCAUUUGUGCUAAGUUAUAGCAUUUUAUAGACAACUUGUUGACUAUGAUUUGUCUUGUAGCUUACUCGCUUAUGUUAUUUUACCUACGCUUAGGAUGUUGAGUCAUCACACAUCUCU